UUGAAAAAAAAUGCAGAACUGAGUGUGGUGGGCAAGAGAAGUAAUGAGGGAAAGGUUUAGUACAAGAGGGAGGAAGGAGAAGAAGAGUCAUCAAAAUAGUUUGGGAUGUAAGUGGACGAGAAGAUUUUCAUGGGUAGUGAGGUCUGAUGAGGUCUGUGAACCAAAUACUGGCUAUCAACUCUGUUGUAGAAAAGCUAUCAAGAUUCAGAGACAAAGAUGUAGAUGUACGGCUCUAGUCAUCUGUCUGUGUAACCCUGAAGGGGAGGAAUGUGGAGAAGGUGGUGGUUCAAGAACAGUGUGACAAAUGUCACAUAUAUUUUUCUAUUCUUUGUGUUGGUUGGGUGGGAUGCAUUUUAGAAUGAUUAUUUUGAAAAGUACAAUUAAUAAAUCCUCCUCUGUUCUAACCUA